GGGGGUGACUAGUGGCAGAGUGAGGGAAGGAAGGGGUGACUAGUGACAGAGUGAGAGAGGUGGUGACUGUCACUAGUCACCACCUCCCUCUGUCACUACUCCUUCCCUCCUUUUGUCACUAGUCACCCCCCUCCGUCCCUUACUCUGUCACUAGUCACCCCCUCCCUCACUCAGUCACUAGUCAUCCCCUCCC